CAGCUGCACAACGAAGCCCGGAUACUGUGUGUGUUGCGCUGUUUAGAGGUACGUAGCACCACAUGAUUCGGCUUCGUGGUGCACGCAACU
rnacentral:miRNA from 11 species